rnacentral:rRNA from 1 species
GACGAACGCUGGCGGCGUGCUUAACACAUGCAAGUCGAACGAUGAACUUGGAGCUUGCUCUGGGGGAUUAGUGGCGAACGGGUGAGUAACACGUGAGUAACCUGCCCUGGACUCUGGGAUAACUUCGAGAAAUCGGAGCUAAUACCGGAUAGGACCUUGCACCGCAUGGUGUGGGGUGGAAAGUUUUUCGGUUUGGGAUGGACUCGCGGCCUAUCAGCUUGUUGGUGAGGUAAUGGCUCACCAAGGCGUCGACGGGUAGCCGGCCUGAGAGGGUGACCGGCCACACUGGGACGGAGACACGGCCCAGACUCCUACGGGAGGCAGCAGUGGGGAAUAUUGCGCAAUGGGCGCAAGCCUGAUGCAGCAACGCCGCGUGCGGGAUGACGGCCUUCGGGUUGUAAACCGCUUUUAGUAGGGAAGAAGCCUUCGGGUGACGGUACCUGCAGAAAAAGGACCGGCUAACUACGUGCCAGCAGCCGCGGUAACAC